rnacentral:rRNA from 1 species
UGGGGAAUAUUGCACAAUGGGCGCAAGCCUGAUGCAGCGACGCCGCGUGAGGGAUGACGGCCUUCGGGUUGUAAACCUCUUUCAAUAGGGACGAAGCGCAAGUGACGGUACCUAUAGAAGAAGGACCGGCCAACUACGUGCCAGCAGCCGCGGUAAUACGUAGGGUCCGAGCGUUGUCCGGAAUUACUGGGCGUAAAGAGCUCGUAGGUGGUUUGUCGCGUUGUUCGUGAAAACUCACAGCUUAACUGUGGGCGUGCGGGCGAUACGGGCAGACUAGAGUACUGCAGGGGAGACUGGAAUUCCUGGUGUAGCGGUGGAAUGCGCAGAUAUCAGGAGGAACACCGGUGGCGAAGGCGGGUCUCUGGGCAGUAACUGACGCUGAGGAGCGAAAGCGUGGGGAGCGAACAGGAUUAGAUACCCUGGUAGUCCACGCCGUAAACGGUGGGUACUAGGUGUGGGUUUCCUUCCUUGGGAUCCGUGCCGUAGCUAACGCAUUAAGUACCCCGCCUGGGGAGUACGGCCGCAAGGCUAAAACUCAAAUGAAUUGACGGGGUCAUAGCUGUUUCC